rnacentral:rRNA from 1 species
UACAGGAGGGGGCUAGCGUUGUUCGGAAUUACUGGGCGUAAAGGGCGCGUAGGUGGCCUGUUAAGUCGAACGUGAAAUCCCCGGGCUCAACCCGGGAACUGCGUCCGAGACUGGCAGGCUCGAAUCCGGGAGAGGGAUGUGGAAUUCCAGGUGUAGCGGUGAAAUGCGUAGAUAUCUGGAGGAACACCGGUGGCGAAGGCGGCAUCCUGGACCGGUAUUGACGCUGAGGCACGAAAGCGUGGGGAGCAACAGG